GACGAACGCUGGCGGCGUGCUUAACACAUGCGAGUCGAACGCUGAAGCUCAGCUUUUGUUGGGUGGAUGAGUGGCGAACGGGUGAGUAACACGUGAGUAACCUGCCUCCUUCUUUGGGAUAACGCCCGGAAACGGGUGCUAAUACUGGAUAUUCACUGGUCUUCGCAUGGGGGAUGGUGGAAAGGGUUUUUCUGGUGGGGGAUGGGCUCGCGGCCUAUCAGCUUGUUGGUGGGGUGAUGGCCUACCAAGGCUUUGACGGGUAGCCGGCCUGAGAGGGUGAACGGUCACAUUGGGACGGAGCUACGGCCCAGACUCCGACGGGAGGCAGCAGUGGGGAAUAUUGCACAAUGGGCGCAAGCCUGAUGCAGCGACGCCGCGUGAGGGAUGGAGGCCGUCGGGUUGUGAACCUCUUUCGCUCAUGGUCAAGCCGCAACAAUGGUUGUGGUGAGGGUAGUGGGUAAAGAAGCGCCGGCUAACUACGUG
rnacentral:rRNA from 1 species